rnacentral:rRNA from 1 species
GUGCCAGCCGCCGCGGUAAUACGGAGGGUGCAAGCGUUAAUCGGAAUUACUGGGCGUAAAGCGCACGCAGGCGGUCUGUCAAGUCGGAUGUGAAAUCCCCGGGCUCAACCUGGGAACUGCAUUCGAAACUGGCAGGCUUGAGUCUCGUAGAGGGGGGUAGAAUUCCAGGUGUAGCGGUGAAAUGCGUAGAGAUCUGGAGGAAUACCGGUGCGAAGGCGGCCCCCUGGACGAAGACUGACGCUCAGGUGCGAAAGCGUGGGGAGCAAACAGGAUUAGAUACCCUGGUAGUCCACGCCGUAAACGAUGUCUACUUGGAGGCUGUG